rnacentral:tRNA from 1 species
AAGACUUUAAGUUAAAUAAACUAUUAGCCUUCAAAGUUGGAAAAAUGACUCAGUUUUAAGUCUUA